rnacentral:lncRNA from 1 species
GGAGUUAGAAUUCUUCUUACGAUUUCACAACUAAAAACGUAUUCCUAAAUACCAGAACACAUCUCCACUGAAUUCUAAUUGUUUUAAGGGCUUCAAGGCUUGAUUUUUGAGCUGAAGAUAGUCUAAAAACGCCUAUGAACAUGGACAAGUUUUCAGGGUGUUACAUCAGUAACAUAUAAAGAAUGAAUUUGGUAAAUAUUUAACUGAAAAAAUGUUAGCUUUAUACAAACUUAUACGACAAAAACUAUAAAUUACAUACAUAAGAGACUAUUUUGAAUCUACCAUCAAAAUAAGAAACCAUUGGUGUCAUUUUAUCCUAACUUCUAUAACCAAAUAUAAAAGGAUGCUCCUCACUAACACCAGAUGAAUGGAUUGAAUCAAUAAAUAAAUGUAUGCUAUAAAUAAUUUGAACUCAUAAUUUCGAUAUUACAAUGAAUUUAUAAGAAAGAUUUUUAUGUUUAAAAUGUCACUUUCUUGCACAAAGUUGUUUUGCGGAAAUUUUGACUUUUGAAAGUCGCCACUUAAUUUUGAAAAGGAAAUAAAAAACCUUUGGAGAGUUUCAAGCGAUUCAAGACAGGAAAAUCAUUUAAGUUAAAGAUUCUAAAUAAGCGGUUCCUAUUAACGUUUUAGGAAGGUGUUAGGCACCUAAAACGUCCGCUAACUUGCAGUUAUCCGGACUAUUUAAAAAUCGUUUUUGACUAACUUUGAAAAAUUGAUUUUUUGAAAAGAAAGCAAUUUUAGGAAUAUUUUGGUGUUUAUACGAAACCAGUUUUUUAGCGACUUGACUAAGGAUUUAACUAGGUUCACAAAACACAUAAGACGAACAAGCGUAAAGAAAAAGGGAAGGGGAGAAAGUAAGGGAUUUAGGCCAUUAGGUCCAAAUCAAUAAGACCUGUCCUAGUCUAAUUGGUCUUUCGACCCAUUUUCACCUGUCCUAAUUCUAUGUUUUCGAGCCCUUUUGGCUCGAGCUUGCUUCACCUGUAUUAAGUACAACUUUAGCUUCGAGUCCCAAAAUACAUGAAUAAUGAAAUGAAGAAAUAAAUAAAAUAACUAAAGACAACAACAAGUAAAUGAACAAAAUAACAAAUGAGACUUUUGAGUCUCUUAGCCGCUUCAAAGAUUGGAUUCCGAUCCAAUCUUCUUCUCUCAAUUCCUUGCAUUCGAUGCACGACGGGAUUUCUUUUGAACUUAGAUCUUCGGACUUGACUUAAUGAGACGGGCCUUACUGGCCCAUUAAGGAAAUGCGAGGGAAAAGAGCCCAUUUGGACUCCAAGGCGGAUUCACAUGCAAAGAAAGAAGAAUAAUGGAAAUUAAUGCAUGAGCAACCAAAAUUGGAAGUGAAACCAAAAGGGAACAAUUUUUAAAGGCUCAGAUGAUAUAUGAUAAAUUAUACUUUAUUGGAGCAUAAGUCAACUCUUACAUAAGAUGCAAAUAGCAUGUAGGUCUAUUACCAGAUCUUGGCGGAAAAUAUAUGCAUAUUCAAAUAACACAUCUUCACUAUAAGAUAGGCCAAUCGCAGCUAAUAGGAAAAUGGAUGACUCUUAGAAGUUCGUUGACGAACAAAUCCGCUAAAGAGAGAUUAAUAAUUAAUUAUAGUAUAAACCUGCUACAAGGUCUCCAAAUUUAUAUCGUAGAAUCUAAAGCAACGUAUAAAGCAACAGAUCAAUAAUAGAGUAACCAAAUUUACUACAUCGAGGGCAUACAAUCUAUAUCAUGCAUUACUAACAAGACAAAAUUCAUUACUAAGUCUCCACAUAGUUUCGAAAAGGUAAUCCGAGAUAAAGAACACAACCCGAAUACAAAAAGCAUUCUUGCGUGGGCCACCGAAUGAUUUUAAACUAAUAACAUCUCCCUUAUCCCUUCUUGACAUUAUCUGUCUAUGGGGAUUUUGGGAAUAUUUCCUCUUGAUUUCAAAAGAUUCGAAACAGAUGGAUAGAGCAAAACCGAGGCCAACUACCCAUAGUAUUGAACUAAGGCAACGAAUCAAGAAUAAAACAGACAAUAGUCGGCUAAAUGAAUAGCAAAUUGAACCCAAAUAUUCCGGAAAAAUAACAACAUAAUAACAAUAAUCGAAACGCCACAGUGAUUUUGAAGAUAGAAUUAAAAUGAAAUUAUAAGGUUAAUGUAUUGAGACCAAAACUGAGAUAAUCAAUAGCAAAUUGAAUGAAACUACUGGAUUUCAUCAAAAACAAACAAUGAACUAAUUCUACAACAUAUGUUGACAUCUUAUUAUAUAGGUCAAUAAUUACUCAACAAUACUUGAUGCGAAACAGUGAACUCAGGGCAAGUGAACAUAAACACGAAGCUAGUAAUGGAACACAGAUUUUAUCACAGACAAUGAUUCAACAUAUCAAACACCUCAAAAAGAAACUACUGCUUUCCGGAGCUCCUACAGCAAACGAUUAUCAACAAACAACAACGUAUUCAAACACAUCCUACAGCCAACAAGGCCUCUAAAGCUAUUUCCGGCAAAGGGCACCAAAAUUACAUCAGAAGGAGAUGAAGCGGAGAAACAACAAUCGAUGACAGGAAUAAAGGUAGAAAAAGGUGUUUACCUUCUCCGGAGCAACAAAACGGGAGUACGAGCUAAUGUCGAGAUGUGCCACCACCGGAGAAGCAUCUUCGUCCACUCGGGGACUUCGAUUUGCCGACCAACUUCCCGAAAAGACGAACGAAAGGAAAAAAUUUCACUAAAAGAAACUGUUUUCUCUCCAAAUUUUCUCCGAUAUUCAGAAUCCAAGAAUUUCCAAACCCUCCAAUCUCUAACCCCUUGAAACAGUGAUCCAAUGGGUCUUUAUAUAGAAGACGAAUUAGGGGUAAUUUAGGGAUUUGAAAAAGAGGAUCUUUGGAAUUUUGAAAUUCGAAAUUCCCAUUCCAGCUUGAGAAUUCAUCAACAAACGUACCAAUUUGGAUUAUCUCCCGGAUAAUUCGGAAUAGGUGGACCAAUCAAAAUUGGGGAAAACCGAAUCCCCUUUUCAACCAAUGAAAAACGCCCAAAUAAGUAUGAGACCGUCCCGUCUCAUCCGAGGAUCGCGGGAUUGAACCGUUGGAGAGGGACAGCUCAUCCGAUUCUAGAACCUUUGAGGGUUUUCUCGCACGAAUUCGCGCGUCACGGAGUGAGACACGUGUGGAGAAGGGUCGGGUUGACUCAGACGGGGCUGGGUCGAAGUUGGUUCGGCGUCGGGUUAGGGUUUGGUUUUGGUUGACG